rnacentral:rRNA from 1 species
AUUGAACGCUGGCGGCAGGCCUAACACAUGCAAGUCGAACGGUAACAGGAAGAAGCUUGCUUCUUUGCUGACGAGUGGCGGACGGGUGAGUAAUGUCUGGGAAACUGCCUGAUGGAGGGGGAUAACUACUGGAAACGGUAGCUAAUACCGCAUAACGUCGCAAGACCAAAGAGGGGGACCUUCGGGCCUUUUGCCAUCGGAUGUGCCCAGAUGGGAUUAGCUAGUAGGUGGGGUACCGGCUCACCUAGGCGACGAUCCCUAGCUGGUCUGAGAGGAUGACCAGCCACACUGGAACUGAGACACGGUCCAGACUCCUACGGGAGGCAGCAGUGGGGAAUAUUGCACAAUGGGCGCAAGCCUGAUGCAGCCAUGCCGCGUGUAUGAAGAAGGCCUUCGGGUUGUAAAGUACUUUCAGCGGGGAGGAAGGGAGUAAAGUUAAUACCUUUGCUCAUUGACGUUACCCGCAGAAGAAGCACCGGCUAACUCCGUG